UUUAAGAGUAAAAAAAUUUACCGGAAUGACUAAUUUGGAUCAAUAGAUAUUUAUGCUUAGGAAAGGGCCUUUUAUGCUAUGCUUGUAAAGACAUGGCUGUUUAUUUUUGUUUCAUUUUGGUUGGAGGAAUGGGCUAGAAGCCCAGACUAAAGAGGCCCAAAAUAUUACAAACAUUUCCAACAAAGACAAGUGCCAUGGCAUCAAAGCUGAUGUCAGUUGAAUACCAAAAAAAAAAAAAAAGCUGAUCUCAGUCACCACCAUAGCCGGAGAGAGCUCCCAGACUGUGAGAUCGCGAUUGUUCUCAACCGCUCACUUUGCAGGCUGAUCGGCUACCGUGUUUCUCUCCCUAUGAACAAGCUUGAACAGCAAGAACCAUUCUAUUCUUUUCAAUUGAUGAACUCUUCUCAGCAAGAUUACGAGGUUGGAACCGAUCAACUUUCUAAUUGUAAAUUCAAAAGUCACAAGCAUUACAUGAUCCUCCUAGUUCGCUUGUAUUUCGUGUCUUUUCUUAUUUUUUUCCUCUUAUAUUAUCCCCCUUACCAUUCAAUUCAGUGAAUAUAUACAGGGCACAGAUACAGGGUUGAGUAAUAUGAUGGAUAAUGUUAACGUUAUAGAUUUGGGAGGCUUCGAUCUGGACGAGGCUCUGGCUACAGUGGCCGGAGAAUCGCAGGUGGUAAUUGCGGCGGCUUCGAAGAGCUUCGUGUCAAAGUUGCCGGUGGCAGAGGCGGAAGAGGUGGAGGAAAAGGAUGUGUGCUCGGUAUGCAUGGAAGGGUUUGAGGGCGGAGGAAACAAGCGAGUCCCAUGCGGCCACGUGUACCACUCAGAAUGCAUCAUUCUGUGGCUGUCCCGCUCCAACUCCUCUUGCCCUCUCUGCCGCCGCCAUAUCUUCCUCAGCUAAGAAUCUUAGGAUAGCCUUCUCAUGAUUCAUGUAUCACUCUGUUUUGCUGAAUUUUUUUUUUUUUUUUUUGCUUUUUGUCGAAAUGAUUUUCGACGAUUAGUCUUUAGUAUUCUUUCAUGUUUAGGGUCUAAUAUAUGAUAACAGAAUUAUUCUGAUGCUAGUAAAAAAUAGUACGUACAUCAACAAAUAAAGAGAAAGAAGCAAUGAAAGAUUUAUGAUUAAGUUAAUGUGAAGUUAAACAUGUUGAAAAAAUACUUAUCAAUAAGUAUA